GUUAUUUUGAUAGUUUUUGAUGAAAAGAAUGCGUAAAAUAAUCGAGGCGAGAAAAUAAUGAGAAGUACGCCUUUUCUGCGCAUGCUCACUCCACGAACAAGCUCGGAACCAUUUUACUGACCGCGGAUGCACACGGAAGGUGAAUAAUGGUGCACUUUUUGAAAAGCUCCAGCAAAGUCGGUGAGCGAGGAACUUCUAAACAUGAGAAGUGGAGACCGUCUGUCCGAUGUGUAUAUUCCUGACUGGUUGGGUUCCUUUUAUCAACACAGAGGCAGCAGAACCAAGAACUACAUGCUGAGCAACCUUUGGCCAGAAGAGGGAGCUGUUGUCAUUGGACCCACAUGCAUCAUCUCCCUGAUCUGGCUUCCAUCGUGGAGGAGAGUUGGACGACAGGCUGACAGGCAGGCAGACAGACAGCUGCUCAGGCUGCACAGACACGCCCCCUGCUUUACACGUCGGAAACGGACCUCCGGCUCCCAUAGGGCCUACUUGGCGUUGGCAGAGCUGCACAGGACCUUGCGCACCGCCUGGGCGAUGGAGUCGCGGUCGAUGCCGAAGAGCUGCAUGAGCUCGUGAGGCUUUCCGCUGCGAGGGACCUGAGACACAGCCAGGCGGUGGACCGUGAAGCCCGUCUCGUUGACCACCGCCGAGCACACGGCCUCGCCGAGACCACCUGCAGCACACGGGUCAAAGCCAGCUCCACUGCCUUCUCCGCGGAGACCCCAUCGCUGGGGUAGAAGAUGGUGGCCGUGGGAAUGGCCCUGAACAUGGCCAGGUCCUCCAGACCCAUCUGAGAUGGACCGUCCUCCCCUGAAGACAGAAGCGACGGUCAGCAGGAAGAACUACACGUGGCACUAGCGUGUAAACACAGGUGGUGCUGGAUGAGUUCCGACUGACCGAUGGAGACGCCGCAGUGUGAGCCGCAGAGGUUGAUGUUGCUCUCAGAGAUGGCCGCCAUGCGCAGCUGGUCGAAGGCGCGGGAGAAGAAUGUGGCGAAGGUGCUGGCAAACACCACAUUACGGUCGCGCGCCGCACAUCCCAUCGCCACGCUCACCUGUGGAGGACAUGUGUCAGGACAUUGACCCGCAUGUCUAAAUCCAAACUAUAAGGUCACAUCAGUGAAGGAGUCGAGCGACGGAAUGACUUUCCUACCAUGUUCUGCUCGGCGAUGUAACACUCCACGUAGCGGUUCGGGUGCUCAUUCUUGAAGAGCUCGGAGAAGGUGGAGUUCUUGGUGUCUCCGUCCAGAACCACCACAUGCUCAUUGUAACGCCCCAGUUUGGCCAGAGCCAUGCCGUACGCCUUCCUGGUCGCAAUCUGACCCCCCCCAAAAAAAAGAAAUCAGAAACCAACAGGUGAACACAUGAAUCCUCCCACUGACCUUCUCUCCUGGUUUGUAGCUCGGGGCGCUGGGCAUGCGCAAGUUCCUGAGACUGACGGGGGAAGUGUCGUCCUCUGGCGGCGCCGGGAACAGACGCUUGUUGCAGCUGAUGAUGCGGCUCUGCAACUCCUUCAUCACACUCUCAGCCAUGUCUUUAGGCAGAGGUUUGCCGUGCCAGCCCAUCUUAUCCUCGGCAGCUGGAAGAUCCAGAUCAUCGAUGAGCAUCAACAUCGGAGAGUUUAAAACCUCCUGUGUUAUUUAGAAAUUGCUCCUGCUUGUUUAUAGCUAAACCAUUAUUCACACAGCCUCAUGUGAAGAUGGGAUUAAAAAUACAGCCAGUGUUGUCGCAUCAUAGAACCUGUCUCAGCAUAAUAAUAAGCAGGUUUAUGAAAGCAAAUGUCGUAUCGGCUGCCCUCCUCCCACCUCAGGCGACUUACAAGGUCAAAGGUUAAACCCAGCAUUACUUUGUCUUACAUCAGCACUUCUCAUGAAAAGAUGGCAUGUGAUUUAAGGUGCAGACGUUCUGCUGCACAUCUGUCUGUGCGUUGACUUUUCUGUAGGUCCCUUUGUUCCCCAUCACUUGUGCUUUUCCCAAACCAACAGAGCACGAAGGGCCGCCGUCCCGUUUGUCCUCCGACAUUCUGUGGGAUUACAGGACUAAAGCACUAAAGCGUCCAUGGGAUUACAGGGAGUUAAGGGCUCACUAAGUGGACAGCGGUUAUUCUUAAGAAAACCAACUGUAAUUCCAUAUUUUGCCGCGUCAGCAGCUUGAGGAGACGGGUUCGAGGGCUGAGCCACUCAACAUGCCCGGACUGAAUGCCUUACCUGCAAUCCCUUUGCCCUUGAUGGUUUUUGUGAUGAUGGCGAGCGGCUGGUGGCAUGGCUGACUCAGCACUUUACACAGCUCCUCCACACUGUGGCCGUCCACGAUGACCGCGUGCCACCUGCAACACCAGCGACGUCCAGUCCGAUUCGCUCGGGUUUGCAGUGGAAGAAGACCUUUAAAGUCACUCACCCAAACGCCUCGCAGCGACGCUGGUACUUCUCCACAUGGUGCUGGAGAGGAGCUGGGUCACUCUGACCCAAACGGUUGAUGUCCAAGAUGGCCACCAGGUUAUCCAGCUGGUAGUAGGAGGCGAAGGCCAUGGCCUCCCAAACCGAGCCCUCUGACAUCUCGCCAUCACCCAUCAGGCAGAAGACCCUGUAGCUGUUGGCAGUGAAGCAGUGAAGAUAUCCAUCAGCACUCCGUUGGAUUCCUUCGACCAAGGUGGAAGUGACAGCUGACCCUUGCGCCCGAACAGACCCCUACCGCUACACCCCCCUCCCACCACUGUGCUCUGAUCUUCCCGACUAGUUGCUACUGCGGCGUAACGACUCCUGACAGCUUUCCAGUCAAAUAGACACGUUCCCAUUAAAGCUGGAGGAUGAGGCGAGACACGACACAUUACGCCACGCAUUCCAACCACCAAGGCUGAGAUAAACAAAGCAGGCGACAAAGAAAAUAAAGGAACAAAGGAAAAGAACAA